GGAUGCAAACUAAGAAAAUCAAGUUAGAGCUCUUGAAAUUGUGGUUUUUAGGCUCACACCCUGUUUUUAUAAACAACAUCAAAAUGGCAGAACCUUUGCUGACUUUAAGUUCAUAUGAGGAAUGUGCUUAAAUCCUCUCCAGUACUGUCAGUAUUGUGGAAGAAUUCCUCUUACAGAUAAGGAUCACUGGCAUCUCUGCUCUUCUUUGCACUCGUCACCCUCUUCCCUCUUCCAAGUUCCUUUACAGUUUAGUCAAUUGUUUUCAAGUUUGAUCCGAGUUGGGUUCCCUUUCUUUUGAUUGUUCUUCCUCCUCUCCUCUCCCUCCUCUUCUUCCUCUUAGAUAAAGUUAUUUCACUUAAUACUCUUAAGAGAAUUUUUUUUUCUUUUCUAGAAAAAUCAGUGUAUUUCUUUUUCUAGAUCCAGGUUUGUUUAAAACAACCUAUAAUUUCACUUAUGUUCAAUCUGAUUGUUUUAAGUUUCUUCAAUAAGAAGAUUGUGUUUGACUAUGGGAGUCAACUCAUUAUGGCAAUAUCAUUUUUGAAAUCAUGAUGUAAAACAAGUAGUAGAAACAGCUAAAGAAAAGCUGGGUGGAGUGUUUGUUCUAGGCAUCACUGGACUUGAUUGAGAUUGAAUUGAACAUGAGCUUAAAACUUGUUAUUUGUUGUUUGGAUAAUAAAAGAUUUCCAUUUUUAUCUUGUAAGAACUAGUGGUUAAAGUACCCACACACGCUGGGUUUUUGAUCAAGAAUAAGUGAAGUGUGGUGGCUCUACUUUCCCAUGAUAAAACACACUCAUGAGCUCUAUGUAUUUUGAUAUUGUGCCAGCCAUAUAAGCAAGCUUAUUUGGGGGGUGGGCCAGAUGUGCGUUUACUUUGGAAGAAAUGAAAGAAGCAAGACUUGUGAGAUAAAUAUUUGAAAGCAGUAUGCUCUGGCCAACUGUUAUCAGAAUACUUUUAAACUGAUUUACUAGACAUGGGAAUUUUUAUAUGGUCUAAUUAUUUACUCAAAGGCAUAGAUGUGAAAAUUUUAGGCAACAUUAUAGUCCAUUUUCACAAUGGAUGAAGCUAUAACUUGAAAAAUAGUAAUUAGAAGGAUUAAUUGGAAAUUGGAGAGUUUGAGAUAGACCUUGGACCACUUGCAUACACUCUUCUCACUUGAUAUUUUAGCAACAUAAUAUAUGUACUUUGAGUAUAACAUCAAGUUUUAACAAAUAAAGACAAAAAAAAUCACAUAAGAUACUAAAAGUCUCAUUUUAUAUUUGUUUUAGAUGUUUUAAAUAGUUGCAAUGGCUUAAAUGACGAUUUAAAAUGUUGCUUGUAAUACAGUUUUGCCUGCUAAAUUCUCCACAUUUUGUAAGCUGUUUUCUUUCUUUGGGUGUAAAGCGUUUGGCCUAGAAUUGUGAUAUUGUAUCUGUUUUGUCCCGGUUGUAUAGUAAUGUUUCAGUCCAUCAUCCAGCUUUGGCUGCUAAAAUCAUACAGCUGUGAAGACUUGCCUUUAUUUCUGUUAGACUGCUUUUUGGUUCUGUAUUGAGUAUCUUAAGUACUGUAGAAAAGAUGUCACUUCUUUAAGGCUGUUUUGUAAUAUAUAUAUAAGGACUGGAAUUGUGUUUUUAAAGAAAAGCAUUCAAGUAUGACAAUAUACUAUCUGUGUUUUCACCAUUCAAAGUGCUGUUUAGUAGUUGAAACUUUAUUAAAUGACAUAAGUG
rnacentral:lncRNA from 1 species